CGAGCGGCUCAGGCGAUCGCCGGGCAGCGCGUCCCUCGGGAGGCGUUGCCGGGAGGAAAGUCCGGGCUCCGCAGGGCAGGAUGCCGGGUAACGCCCGGUGAGGGUGACCUCGAGGAAAGUGCAACAGAAAACAAACCGCCGAGCUCCCUCCCUCGGGAGGUGCGCUCGGUAAGGGUGAAACGGUGGGGUAAGAGCCCACCGCGCCGGCGGUAACGCAGGCGGCUAGGCAAACCCCAUCCGGAGCAAGGCCAAGAAGGAAGCGCCCGAGAGCUGCCCGCUCGAUGCUUCCGGGUAGGCUGCUCGAGCCAGCCGGCGACGGCUGGCCUAGAGGAAUGAUCGCCAGGGUGCUCGGGGUGACCGGAGCACCUCCACAGAACCCGGCUUACGAGCCACUCGGUCC
rnacentral:RNase_P_RNA from 1 species